rnacentral:rRNA from 1 species
UGAGGAAUAUUGGUCAAUGGGCGGGAGCCUGAACCAGCCAAGUCGCGUGAAGGAAGAAGGGUCUAUGGUUCGUAAACUUCUUUUGCAGGGGAAUAAAGUGCAGGACGUGUCCUGUUUUGUAUGUACCCUGAGAAUAAGGAUCGGCUAACUCCGUGCCAGCAGCCGCGGUAAUACGGAGGAUCCGAGCGUUAUCCGGAUUUAUUGGGUUUAAAGGGUGCGUAGGUGGGUUGAUAAGUCAGCGGUGAAAGUUUGCAGCUUAACUGUAAAAAUGCCGUUGAAACUGUCGGACUUGAGUGUAAAUGGGGUAGGCGGAAUGCGUGGUGUAGCGGUGAAAUGCAUAGAUAUCACGCAGAACUCCGAUUGCGAAGGCAGCUUACUAAGCUACAACUGACACUGAAGCACGAAAGCGUGGGGAUCAAACA